AUAUAUUCCAACACUAGCCCCUCAACUUUAUAAGGGAUGUUGCACCUAUUUUUCCUCAUAGAGCUUACUUACAUAUAUGUACUUUAUAUGAAUCCUUCUUGCUUCGUUUGAUACUUAAAUGGACUUCAUUAUUAUUUAUGGCUCAUGCACUUUCUUUGUUAAAUGCAGUGAUGCUAAUUUGGUAAAAGACAUCUAUUUUAAGUUACAUAUGGAUAAUGAUAGAAUGUUACCUAUGACAUUAAUAGUUGGUUUCCAAAGAGUACCUUUGAAAGUUUUCAACCGCUUUUCAACUGUUUGUAAAAAAAUGGCAUGAUGGGAUUGAAUCUUUGAAGUUUCGGUGGAAACAUGCUUGCUAUUGGGAAAAUUAUUAGGAGCUUAAAGCGGAAGAAGCCUUGAGCUUGAGAGAAUUGUAUGCAAAAGAGAUUUCAGAUGUUAACGCAGGAAGGUCAACACAUACGUUACAGUUUCCUGAACGUGUCUUUCAUUAAAUGGUUUAUUUCAACACUGCUAAAUUAGAUAUUUUAUUGUGAAGUAAAUGCCAUAAGUAAUUCAA